GAGUGAUUUAACUUGUACACACUGGGUGCAUAAUAAUGUAAAGGUACACUGAAUAGUAUUAAUGACCAACAGCAACAAACGGAUCUCCUCAAGGUAAGUCUGUUGGCUGUGUUUUAAUAAAGACCAUCGCUGGACUUCAGGAUCUUCCUCCGUUCAGCUCAAGGUGAGGCGCUGGUUCUGUUUUUUCUUUGGUUGGUUCCGGCCGGAAUGUUCGGAUUCCAGUCGGACGGUUUGUGCUUCCCGCCGUGGAAGGUUCUGAGUGCGUUCACUUGAUUUAGUCUCAAUGGUUAGCAUAGAACGUUGUAGUCUUGACAACCAUAAGAACCCACGUGGCUGUUAGUUGGACGUGAAUCCCCUGAAGGUAUCUGGCGGAACGUUCUGGAUUGUAUUUGCGUAUCUUCGAGCCGUUGCCAACAAACUAUUUUUCAGUCGGUUUCCAUCAGGAAUUGUUGCCCUUAUCUUAAACUACUUAAGUUUGAUAUUAAAUACUCACUGACGCGUGCAUCGUACAAUAUGUUGAUAAUUUCCGACUGUUGCGCCGACUUUAACCACGUUCACGGGACUCUCGCUGCGUUCGAAACAGCGUUCUACUUGCGGGCCCAUUUCUGAUCAUCAGUGAAGGCUGAAGAUCAUUUCAAGGUGGAAGACAAUUUGGCAUUUCUUCGACGGAACCCUGCACCUGAAUAUGGCUGAGUAUAUUUGAUUUAAUAUCGAUACUGCUUAGUGUUCUUUGUUACUUCAGCUUUCAUACGUUCUAAAUAUCUGGUGUCAAUAAUUGAAGUAAAACCCUACCCAAUGGAAUGACGUUAAACAACGACUUUGGUGCUUAGUUACCAACUGGAUAAUAACAAAGCUAAAAUAAUGGCCGUCUUUCCCACAUGUUACAGUAGAAGAAACUCUAGAACUGUACAAGGUUAAAAAGGUAACAUGUAGUUUCCAGACCUCCACCACCUCCUCACCCAGAGCCAGACCUCCACCUCCUCACCCAGAGCCAGACCUCCACCUCCUCACCCAGAGCCAGACCUCCACCUCCUCACCCAGAGCCAGACCUCACCCAGAGCCAGACCUCCACCUCCUCACCCAGAGCCAGACCUCCACCUCCUGUCAGAAGUCCUCCAGAACAGCUGAAAGGCGAGGCUGAGAGGCUGGGGACCGGCUUGUGGUGCCAGGAUGGACCGGAGACUGAGGCUGGAGACCAGGGGCCUGCAGCACCGGACCAGAGGGUAACCAUCACCAAGCUCAUCUGAAACACUAAAAUCCACGGUAGUUUAGGUCUGGUUUUGAUCAUCUUAAGACUUUAAAUCUGUGCCACGCUGUGAUUUGAGUUAAUUCAUACCGGGGUUAUGUAGGAGUCAUAUGAGCCAUUAUUGUUAGAGUGCUGCUACGACCGUAGUGGAUGAAUUGCUGAAUGGGUCAAUCUGUAGACGUUGUCUAAUUCAAGUGUUUAAAUAUGUUUAUAUUCGUCUUCCAUUUUACAAGUGAACCUCAGAUGCAGGAGGUGGGGUGUGUUGCGUCUCCAGGUGAUUUACUGCUGAGACCAACUGUUUGUAACCAGACCAGGAAUCCAUGGCUGAAGGGGCUGGUGGAGGAGCC
ensembl:lncRNA